rnacentral:rRNA from 1 species
UCGAGCAAGGAUGAAAAUCGGACUUAGUGAUCCGGUGGUUCUGCGUGGAAGGGCCAUCGCUCAACGGAUAAAAGCUACCCUGGGGAUAACAGGCUUAUCUCCCCCAAGAGUCCACAUCGACGGGGAGGUUUGGCACCUCGAUGUCGGCUCAUCACAUCCUGGGGCUGUAGUAGGUCCCAAGGGUUGGGCUGUUCGCCCAUUAAAGUGGUACGCGAGCUGGGUUCAGAACGUCGUGAGACAGUUCGGUCCCUAUCCGUCGCAGGCGUAGGAAAUUUGAGAAGACCUGUCCUUAGUACGAGAGGACCGGGAUGGACGUACCUCUGGUGUACCAGUUGUUCUGCCAAGGGCAUGGCUGGGUAGCUAUGUACGGAAUGGAUAAGCGCUGAAAGCAUCUAAGCGCGAAGCCAACUUCAAGAUAAGAUUUCCCACCGCAAGGGUAAGACCCCAGAAAGACUAUCUGGUUGAUAGGUCGAAGGUGUAAGUGCAGCAAUGUAUUUAGCUUAUCGAUACUAAUAGGUCGAGGACUUGACCAAU